rnacentral:rRNA from 1 species
AUGACAGCCCUACGGGUUGUAAACUGCUUUUGUACGGGAAAAACCCCUCGGACGUGUCCGGGGCUGAUGGUACCGUAAGAAUAAGGAUCGGCUAACUCCGUGC